AUGUCUCAACCUCCAUCACCGCCGCCGCUACCAUCCGCCACCGCCCAGCUCUCGCUGCCGCCAGCUCCGUCUACGAUGACGACCGCAUCCGGCACCACCACCGACACCACCGCGCCAGCAGCCGUCACCACCACCACCACCGCGCCAGCGGCCGUCACCAACACCGCUACGGCGCCAGCAGCGGUCGCCCCCACGAUCGAAUCGCCUCCGCUGCUCUCGCCCGAGGAAGUGUCCGGCACCCUUCGGGAGUUGGUUCAGGCGGUCCGGGGUAUUUCCCUAUACCUCGCCGGGGCCCAGCCCCCGCCACCGAGCGCCGUCACCGCCACCUACGGGCCGCCGCCGCUGCAGUGGCCAGCCUCAGCCUUCCAGGCACCCUACGGCGGGGCGCCUCAGCCGCCGCUGCUGCUGCCCUACCAGGCUGCGGUGCAGCCGUGGCCCGCUUGGCCGGCCUCCACCGUGCCGCUGGGGAGCCCGCCCCAGCAGCUCCUUCCAGCGCCACCGCCGGCUACCACGACGCCGGCACCGGAGCAGACGGCCCCCCAGGAGCCACCGCCAUCGACAGCAACGCCGCCCGCACCUAGGGCUACGGGUCGGCCCCUGCACCAGGUGCAGUUCCCACCGUCGCCAUCGCCGAUCCCCGCUUGGGCGACCGGCCCGUCUUCGGGCACGGCCUACUCCACGCCGCCGGAACACCAGAGGCCUUCCCUACGGUUUGAUCACCCCUCCAGCUCGGCGAACUAUGCCCCGGCGCUUCCCGACCCAGCAUACGCACCGCCGGCGCAUGCGGCCGCCCCAGGGCACGGCGGCCCGACACCCCCUCGCUUCGCCAAACUGGACUUCGCAACCUACGAGGGCACGGAGGACCCCCUCAACUGGCUCAACCAGUGCGAGCAGUUCUUUCGAGGGCAGCGGACGCUCGCUUCGGACCGCACCUGGCUUGCGUCCUAUCAUCUUCGAGGUGCAGCUCAGACCUGGUAUUACGCCCUCGAGCAGGACGAGGGCGGCAUGCCACCUUGGGAGCGUUUCCGGGAGCUCUAUCUCCUCCGUUUUGGGCCUCCUAUCCGCGGGAGCAGACUGGCGGCCCUCGGCCGUUUGCCGUUCACAUCUACGGUGCAGGACUACGCCGACCGCUUCCAGGCCCUGGCAUGCCACGCGUCGGGCGUCUCCGCGACCCAGCGCGCUGAGCUCUUUGUGGGCGGGUUGCCAGAUCAUAUCCGCGUGGACGUCGAGCUCCGAGACCCCCACGACCUCCAGACGGCGAUGUACUACGCCCGGGCCUUUGAGCAGCGGGCCCAGGCUCUGCAGCAGCCACUCGGACGGAGCGGCCGGCAGCCCAGUCGGCCCGUUCAGACUUCCUCAACCUCGGGUCGGCCCUCCCCAGCUACGACGGCCACACCCCCGGCGGCCACCCGGCCUUUUCGCCGUCUGUCACCGGCCGAGCAGCAGGAGCGUCGCCGUCAGGGUCUUUGCUUCAACUGCGAUGAGCCCUACACGCCGACCCAUGUCUGCCCCCGCCUCUUUUAUUUAGAGACGGUUGACUACACCGAGGAGGACGCCUCGGCCGACGCACUACCACCGCCUGCGGCUACCGAGGACACGGCUGUGGAGUCCGCGGCAACGGCGUGCGUCGUCUCCCUUCACGCUCUGGCAGGCAUCCGGGGCGAGCGGACCAUGCUGCUGCCCGUGACGAUCCAUGGCGAGCGACUGGUGGCCCUGCUGGAUACGGGCUCCACACACAACUUCCUGCCCGAAUCGACCAUGCGUCGGCUAGCACUCCCAACAACGGGCGGGGAGCGCUUGAGGAUCACAGUGGCGAACGGCAAUCACCUCCAGUGCCAUGGGCUAGCCCGCGACGUUCCCAUCUCCAUCGGCGACGAAAAAAUUUCCAUUACCUGUGCAGGGAUCGAUCUGGGCUGCUUCGACUUCAUCCUCGGGGUGGACUUUCUCCGGACCCUCGGGCCCAUCCUGUGGGAUUUCGACGCGCUCACGAUGACAUUCUGGCGGCAGGGCCGCCGCAUCCGGUGGGAGGGCCUUGGGGGCGCCGCGCCGGCCGUGCCACACCUCCAGCUGGCCGCCGCGUCCUCGGAAGACGAGCACCCCCUACUGGAUCCUCUUCUGCAGCAGCACAACGACAUCUUCGACGAGCCGCGGGGUCUUCCGCCUGCCCGGGUGUACGACCAUCGUAUUCACCUUGUACCGGGCUCCACUCCGGUGGCGGUACGGCCCUAUCGCUACCCACAGCUGCAGAAGGAUGAGUUGGAGCGCCAGUGUACCCUGAUGCUCGCCGCAGGCAUCAUCCGCAUCUCCACGUCACCCUUCUCGGCGCCGGUGCUUCUCGUCCGUAAGUCAGACGGCACUUGGCGCUUCUGCAUCGACUACCGCGCCCUCAACGCACUCACGCUCAAGGACAAGUUCCCUAUACCGGUGGUCGACGAGCUCUUGGAUGAGCUCCAUGGGGCACGCUUCUUUACCAAGCUCGAUCUCCGGUCGGGCUAUCAUCAGGUGCGCAUGCAUCCGGACGACAUCGCCAAGACGGCGUUUCGCACCCACCAUGGCCACUUCGAGUUCUUGGUGAUGCCUUUCGGUCUCGCCAACGCCCCGGCAACAUUCCAGGCCCUAAUGAACGACGUCCUUCGGCCCUACUUACGGCGGUUUGUGCUUGUUUUCUUUGAUGACAUUCUUAUCUACAGCGCCACCUGGGCCGAACAUCUCUAG
rnacentral:rRNA from 1 species